UACGUAGGGCGCAAGCGUUGUCCGGAAUUAUUGGGCGUAAAGAGCUCGUAGGUGGCUUGUCACGUCGGGUGUGAAAGCUUGGGGCUUAACUCCAGGUCUGCAUUCGAUACGGGCUGGCUAGAGGUAGGUAGGGGAGAACGGAAUUCCUGGUGUAGCGGUGAAAUGCGCAGAUAUCAGGAGGAACACCGGUGGCGAAGGCGGUCUCUGGGCCUUACCUGACGCUGAGGAGCGAAAGCGUGGGGAGCGAACAGG
rnacentral:rRNA from 1 species